rnacentral:lncRNA from 1 species
CAACAAUAGAAUGUUAGUGUGAGUUAUUUGGCUGAGGGUCCUAAGAGACCAGGCCUUAAGAGUCUAGGCCUCUGUAGCAAACAGGCAGCCUGUUUUCUAGUUCCUUCUGAAAGAACUCCAGCAGCUGAGUUCAUAGCAGUGGGCCUAGCUUGGUUUAAGGAAGCAAAAGGGAGAGAGAGAAGUGGUCCUGACACACAUCAUGCCCACAGGCAUAUCAGAUUAAAAUGAACAUCUCACCCUGCACCUGGAAAAAAGGGGGGCUCAGGCACCAUGUGUGAUGGGUUGUUCAUUCAGCACUCUUAAACCAACAAGUUGGGAUGUUUAAUCAGCUAGUUCUUAUACUAUCAUGCUGAUUUUACAAUUAUCUGUUGUGAAAAGCAAGGAACCAUCUGCUUGGAGGAAACAGGCAGCUCCAGGUACUUCCUUGUUGCUUAGUCAGAGGACAAGUGUGAUGAGGACUGUUCACGACCAAGAGGAAAAGAGAGCCCUGGCCAGGACUCACAUAGCAGGAACACCAGCAUGUAGGCUAACAUUGCUUCUCGUUUUUAAGUCAAAGUUCUAUUCCAAACACAAGUUUUUUUUUUCUCAAAUCCACAAUCUAAAAAACUUACUUAAAAUUAUUUUAUUUUUAUAAUUAAAUGGAUUUUGAGCAUUUCUAAAGUUAGACUGCUGUAUUUGUUUUCUUUCUGCAUGUAGGUUUUUAUUGGAAACAUAAGGUAGUCAUAGGAACAAUGGUGGCUAGAUGCUUUCUGACCUUCCUGCGGGUAAACAGCCUCUGUCAAGGAACUGUAGAGAUGGGGGUCUGGUCUGGGUUCCCUCCUCAGAGCCUCCUCAUCACAGCACAGUGAAGGCACUCUGUGAUUAGGCGUGUCUCCUUAAGUGUUAUGUUCUCUGUUAGAAUUCUGUCAUUCUGGAAGCCUGCAGACAGGUGUGUUUGAUGACGUUUCAGUGGGGCCUUCAGGAGACAUGCAGAACUUAUGGUCAGGGCAUCCAUAAACAUGUGCUAUGAAGAGAGUGCCUCCUGAGAUUGUAUUCAGUGGCCUUAGGUUGCAAAUGGGCUCAGUGGUUACAGUUUGUGAGGACAGGAACAGUGUCUUCCUACACCGUGGUAUUCCCCACAACACUUACCACAGGGUUAGGUGCUUAAGAGCUGGUGAAGUCAUCAGGCAAGGUGGAAGACAGACGAUGUGCAAGAAGUGUGUCACAGCCACUCAGCUGGCCACACCCCUGCCCAUCUGGUCACGCAGCUUCCUUAAAUAGCUGCUUCUCAGGCAGGCCUUGCUCAAGGCCAGAGUCAAGGGAGCCUCAGAGACAAGAGUUUGAACACUUCCUCUCAUGAGAGGACUUCAGCCCAGGGAUUUCACAAAGUCAGUAUCUGCUUCACAAUUGGUUUCAUGUUCUGAUCCCCCAUCUUACUAAACAUGUAAUCUGGGACAAGCCACUGGCUCUCUCAGAACCUGUUUCUUCAUCUGUGAAAUGGGAAUGCAAACACCAGUUUCACCAGCUGUCUUAAACCCAAAUGAGAUAAUGCAUAACUACAAAAUGAUACACAAAUGAGGUUGACUGUACUAUUCUUAUUCCUUGAUGGCAUUAAAGGUUUUUUUUUUCAUAAUUAGUACUUUUUCUUUGAAUGUGUGAGUGGUAGAUGCAAUUGGAACCCUUUUGCAACUCUUCUUGGUUGGAAAGUUAUCUAAAGUUGCUAAUCAGACCCUCUGCUAAUGUAAAUUCUAUAUACUGAGACACUGCUAAACACCCAUUAAUUUUAACUUUCUCAUUAAAAAGGAUGACAUAGAAACCCUUCUUUGUAGUCAAUAUAGAUGUAUUUUCUCAAAGUGAAUCAUUAAACUUAAGGGCUUUGUCAUGUGAGGCCUCUGAAAAUUGUACAAUAUUAGAAACAUCAAUGUCUGUGUUUAAUAAACUUACUGGUAGCUUUACUGUGUUGAAUGUCUCCACCUAAUUUUGUUUGUUUAAAACCUUGCUUUUGGAAAUUUAGCCCUUCAACUUUUCUUUAACAAAAUCUUGGAAUGAACUUCUGAUUUAAAAAAAAAAAAAAAAGCUUAUAUAUAAUGUUGUACAUGAGCUCACCACUUGAAAGUAAUUUACUUAAAUAAUGAGAUUAAAUUUUAAAACCUUUGAGUGUCAACACAUUUUUAUUUAAAAUUUGAUAUAUAUGGCCUUUCCUGUUUAAAAAUACUGAUUAACAAAAACUGAGAUAGCCUGUUUACUUUUUAUUUAUUUACAAUAAAUAAAUACAAUAAAUAAAAUUUAUUUAUUUAUUGGACAAGUUUACUGAGGAUGGAGUUUUUGGUUUUGUUUUGCUUCGUUUUCUAAAAAAGGACGGAAACACACCCUUUCCUUAGGCGUCCUGCGUCCCCCGAUUCCUGCUCCCUGGUUGCCGCGUCCUUGGCUGGCGUCAGAAAAAUGGCUACAAACUUUCUAGUAGGUGAGAAGAUCUGGUUCCACAAGUUCAAAUAUGGCGAUGCAGAAAGGAGAUUCUACGAACAGAUGAACGGGCCUGUGGCCGGCGCCUCCCUCCAGGAGGCCAGCAUGAUCCUCCAUGAUAUUGCCAGAGCCAGAGAGAACAUCCCGAAAUCCCUGGCCGGAAGCUUAGGCCCAGGGGCGUCUAGCGGCCCCAGCGGAGACCACAGCGAGCUCGUCGUCCGGAUCGCCAGUCUGGAAGUGGACAACCAGAGAGACCUGGCUGAACGUGCUGGAGAAGAGCUUGCCCGGCCACUGGGCCACAGCCCCGCAGACCCAGCACAUGUCUCCCAUGCGCCAAGUGGAGCCCCCGGCCAAGAAGCUAGCCACACCAGCAGAGGAUGACGAGGACGAUGACAUUGACCUGUUUGGCAGCGACAAUGAGGCAACACAGCUGCGGCAUUACCAAUGAGGAGCGGCUGCAGCAGUACGCGGAGAAGAAGGCCAAGAAGCCCGCGCUGGUGGCCAAGUCCUCCAUCCUGCUGGACUUCAAGCCUUGGGACGAUGAGACGGACACGGCCCACCUGGAGGCCUGUGUGCGCUUCAUCCAGCCGGACGGGCUGGUGCGGGGGGCCUCCAAGCUGGUGCCCGUGGGCUACGGUAUCUGGAAGCUGCAGAUUCAGCGUGUGGUGGAGGACAAGGUGGGGACAGACUUGCUGGAGGAGGAGAUCACCAAGUUUGAAGAGUGUAUGCAGAGUGUCGACAUCGCAGCUUUCAACAAGAUCUGGCCUGAGUGUGUGUGUGUGCCCGCGUGCAUGAGGCCCUGACACAAUUAAAAACUGAGACCGGCAAAAAAAAAAAAAAA